rnacentral:lncRNA from 1 species
UUGUUGGGGCGCCUGGGUGGCGCAGUCGGCUAAGCGUCCGAUCUCGCGGUCCGGGAGUUCGAGCCCCGCAUCGGGCUCUGGGCUGAUGGCUCAGAGCCUGGAGCCUGUUUCCGAUUCUGUGUCUCCCUCUCUCUCUGCCCCUCCCCUGUUCAUGCUCUGUCUCUCUCUGUCCCAAAUAAAUAAAUAAACGUUGAAAAAAAAUUAAAAAAAAAAAAAAAAAGAAAGUCAAGGUUUUGAGGAAGAGGAUGGAACAUUGAGUUGAGACCUGACUGACUCAGGAUCUUUUUUUCCUUCUUAGGUGAACACAUUCUUUUGAUCACAUCUCCCGAACAAGCAUGAGACUUUCCAGGUGACAUUUCUCUUCUUGGCCCAGAAUACAGAGUAUGGUGCUACUAACCAGAGCCCCUGGACUGAGGAAAGCAUUCUCCUGCACAGAGCCCAAGGAGACCAAGAGGGGCAACAGAGGAGGAACUGUACUUUGUGUCUUUGAAAGGUUUGCAGCCAUGGAGCUCUCCCUGCACCCUACAUUUGGAAGAUGUGUGAAGAAUGGCCAGUCAAGCAGCUGUUUUCAAUAUAAAGAUUCUUGGCGUCUGCGCGCAGGGU